AACGAACGCUGGCGGCAUGCUUAACACAUGCAAGUCGAACGCUCGUAGGACUUGUCCGACGGGAGUGGCGCACGGGUGAGUAGCGAGUGGGAACCUGCCUAGUCGUGGGGGAUAACCGAGGGAAACAUCGGCUAAUAUCGUAUAAGCCGGGGGUAACUCCGGGAAAGAUUUAUAGCGAUUGGAGGGGCCCGCGUCGGGUUAGCCAGUUGGUGGGGUGACGGCCUACCAAGGCGAUGAUCCGUAGCUGGUCUGAGCGGCUGACCAGCCACAUUGGGACUGCGACACGGCCCAAACUCCUACGGGAGGCAUCAGUGGGUAAUCUUGCGCAAUGGGCGAAAGCCUGACGCAGCAAUGCCGCGUGGAUGAUGAAGUUCUUAGGAUUGUAAAAUCCUUUCACCGUUGAAGAUAAUGACUGUAGCCGGAGAAGAAGCCCCGGCUAACUUCGUGCCAGCCGCCGCCGUAAGAC
rnacentral:rRNA from 1 species